UACAGAGGUCUCAAGCGUUGUUCGGAUUCAUUGGGCGUAAAGGGUGUGUAGGUGGCGCGCUAAGUCGGGUGUGAAAUUUCGGAGCUUAACUCCGAAACUGCAUUCGAUACUGGCGUGCUUGAGGACUGGAGAGGAGACUGGAAUUCCUGGUGUAGCGGUGAAAUGCGCAGAUAUCAGGAGGAACACCGGUGGCGAAGGCGGGUCUCUGGGCAGAAACUGACGCUGAGGAGCGAAAGCGUGGGGAGCAAACAGG
rnacentral:rRNA from 1 species